rnacentral:rRNA from 1 species
UUUAAUUUCGAUGCAACGCGAAAAACCUUACCACUUCUUGACAUGGAGGCUAGAUCCUUCUUAACAGAAGGGCGCAGUUCGGCUGGGCCUCGCACAGGUGCUGCAUGGCUGUCGUCAGCUCGUGUCGUGAGAUGUUGGGUUAAGUCCCGCAACGAGCGCAACCCUCAUCCUUAGUUACCAGCGGGUAAUGCCGGGCACUUUAAGGAAACUGCCAGUGAUAAACUGGAGGAAGGUGGGGAUGAUGUCAAGUCAGCACGGCCCUUAUGGGGUGGGCUACACACGUGCUACAAUGGCGACUACAAUAGGUUGCAACGUCGCAAGGCUGAGCUAAUCCGUAAAAGUCGUCUCAGUUCGGAUUGUCCUCUGUAACUCGAGGGCAUGAAGUCGGAAUCGCUAGUAAUCGUGGAUCAGCAUGCCA